rnacentral:tRNA from 1 species
GGGCGGUUAGCUCAGCCGGUCAGAGCGCCUCGUUUACACCGAGGAGGUCACUGGUUCGAAACCAGUACCGCCCACCA